UCCCUGGUGGUCCAGUGGCCAAGAUUUCAUGCUCCCAGGGCAGGGGGCCCAGGUUCAAUUCCUGGUCAGGGAA
rnacentral:tRNA from 1 species